GGGAAUUAAAUCCUAACAACAAUCAUGUGAGCCUGGGGAGGAUCCUUCCCCACGUGAGCCUUCAGGGGAGACUUCAGCCUUGGCCAUCUUCUACAUCUAGAUUCCUGACCAAGAGAAGCUGUUUAGAAUAGUUCACCAGUGAAGUCAUCUCAACCAGCACAGGGCCUUGACUCCUAACAACAAUCACACGAACUUGGAAGAGGAGCCUUCCCCAACUGAACCUUCGCUUGAGACCUCGUCCUUGGCCAUCCUCUACAUCUGGAUUCAUGAUACAGAGAAACUUGAGUAAUGAUGACACUAGCAGUCCAGCCUGCAUGGAUGCUGACAUGGAUGCUGUCUCCCAUUCUUACCACUGGAUGGGAAGAAAUGCUAGAUGCAAUCCAGCCAGUCUGUACUCGACUGUCAGUUCCAUCUUCUCAACUCACAGUGUCUUCCAAAGUCCGUGCCACACCACAGCCUGGAACAUCUCCCAAGGUUUCAAAUAAUUCAUCAGUGAAUUCUUCUCAACCUGGUCAAUCAUGUGAACUUAGAAGAUGAUUCCUCCCCAGCUGAUCCUCAGGGAACACUAAGACCCAUUCUUCUUCUCAAGUAUCCAAAAAUAAAGUUGAUCCAAGUAAGAAGUGGACAGCAUAAAAGAUUGUAUGGAAGCUAUAAUGCAUCUACAUCUGCAGUAACUAAUCAUAAAAUGAUUUGUAUGAUCAUUCUUCACAUGAUUAGAAUUACUAUGGGAAAGAAGAAAAAGAAAUGCCUCUCUGGAUGGUGACUAUAACCUAUAGCCUUGCCCAAUAUGACUCAGGAUUUGGUACUGGCUGUGCCUUUCAUGGGAUGCUUACUUAUCCUGGUCGAUGGCCUAAAGCCCAACCGUCCAGCUUAUAUCCAGGGAUAAACUCAGCCUGCGGGGCCUCAGGAAGAAGGUCGUAGCCAUUUCAUUGAGUCCAGGGCAGAAAAGUGGAAGAAAAA
rnacentral:lncRNA from 1 species